UUGUUAGUUUUAUUGUUGGAUCAAGUAAUUAACUCAGCAUCCAGAUAAAAACAGGAAAUAGACAAGGGACUUAACAGAAUGACCUGGGCCUCCUCCAGGUACAGGAAACCACAAGUCUAAGCUUGCAGCUACAGCUCCAAAAGUUGGGAGAUUUGCAGAGGCCACACAAUGAAAUAGGGUUGAUGUCCAGGUCUUCUCACUGCUGGGAUCCCAGUCCAGGACCUGCCUCUACCCCACUGUGGGGUCUUCUAGCCCAUGUUCUGCAGGGAUCGUUUAUGCUCCAGGAAUGACCCUGGGUGCUGCUUUCUGUAAGCAAGAAGAAUUUCCAUUCGAUGCCUGGUCUACUGCUUGUUUGGAUUCCUUUAACUUUUUAUUGUUCCUUAUUGAGCAACUAAGACGUUAAUGAAGCCAUCUUCUGCAGUUCCAACAUACUCAGGCAUGUUGCUCAGCGUUUGCUGACAGCGACCAGUAAAUUAUUAUUAUCAUCAUUAUUUCUAUUACUAUUAUUAUUAGCUGAACAGAAAUAAUUCAUGCAAGUUACAGCUGCCUCUGACAGUCGUUUUUGGCUUUUUUAAUGACAGCCCUACAGAUAUUAGUGCGAGUCUUGGGUACCUCUUUCCUGGGCAGAGCCUCCUGCAAAAGCAGGUUUGCCCUUCACUUUUGCUUGAAAAGAAUGUUUUAUUGUGAAAAAAUUUCCAGCAUACACCAAAGGAUUGCUUUGCACCACAUUAAAUCAUUUUGAAAGUCAAAAAUGGUCAAAUAAUCGCAAGUUUGUAAGACUCAAAUUAAUAGUGUAGUAUCAUGACCCCCAUGAACCCAUCAUCACCCAGCUACCACAGUGAUGAAUCAGCUCAGGGCAAAUCUUGUUUCAUCUAAACUUUUACUUCCUUCUUCUCUUUGCAAUGAAUUAUUUUAAAGCACAUCCCAGACAUCUUUAUUAUUAUUAUUAUUAUUAUUUGAGACAGAGUCUUGCUCUGUCACCCAGGCUGGAGUGCAGUGGCGCGAUCUCCACUCACUGCAACUUCCUCCAUCUGGAUUCAAGCAGUUCUCAUGCCUCAGCCUCCCGAGCAGCUGGGAACAGGCUCCAUCCGGGUUCAAGCAAUUCUCAUGCCUCAGCCUCCCGAGUAGCUGGGACUACAGGAGUGUGCUCCCAUGCCCGGCUAAUUUUUGUAUUUUUGGUAGAGACGAGGUUUUGCCAUGUUGGCCAAGCUGGUCUUUAACUCCUGGCCUCGGGUGAUCUGCCUGCCUCAGCCUGCCAAAGUGCUGGGAUUACAAGCGUGAGCCACUGCGCCUGGCCUCAUUAAUUCAUCAAUAAAUAUUUCUGCAUGAAUCCCUCAACAAUUAGGACUCAUUUAAAGCAUAAUCCCAAAUACAAUUUUCACAUUGCUCAAAAAUUAAAAAUAAUUCCUUGAUGUUAAGUGUCCAGUGUUCAAAUUUCCCCAAUUGUCUCAUGAAUACUUCUCAUUUGUAUUGUCACUGUAGUGUAGUUUGUUCGCAAGAAUCAGAAUCCAAAGUCCAUAUGUUGUAAUUGGCUGAUAUUUCUCUUAAGCUUCUGUUAAUCUAUAAAUUCUCCUUAUGUUUUGUUUUUUUUCUUUUAUUCCUUUUCCUUCCACUUUGUUGAUGAAACCUGUAACUUUUUUCCUGAGAUGAAAUCUGGCCGCCUCCCUGUGGUGAAGUUUAAACCCCUUGACAUAUUAACAUGCCCCCAGUUCUCUAAUUCCUAUAGCUGGGAGUUACCUCUAGAGGCUUGAUCCGAUUCAGGUUUGAUUUUUCAGCUGGUGUUGUGGUCUUCCGUCAGAAGGAACAUCAUAUCCGGCCAUGUAUCUUUUUAUGAUGUUAGUUAUCAUUGGUGGAUCACUGCCUGGAUUCAUUGUCCUCUAAAUGGUGAUAAACUGGCCACAGUGAUGGACAAGUGGCAUAUUCAGUUAAGGGACUCACUUUGCCCUCCCUCCUUACCCAUCCCCGGCAGUAUUGUGGGCGAAGCUUGACCUACUCUGUGAUGGGGUUGGAGGCAACACUUCCUGCCCACUUCUCCCCUCUUCCUCCCCACCCCCACAUCCGUGUGGGAAAGCUUAUCAUUAAGGGAAGGCUGGCAAAUUAGAAAGAGCCUUGAGUCUGGGCCUAGCCCUGCAGAUGCCAGCCUCAGAGGUUGCUAGGAUACGCCGGUCCCAGAGCCUCCUCAGAGCUGCAUCCUUCUGGAGCAGCUCAGGGACACUGAUGGGCUGCCUGUGCGGUGGGGAGGUGGGAGGAGGAGUGGCACCCCACAGACAGGCCUGCAAAGAAGGGGUUGGUCCGCACUCCUCCCGGAGCUCCAUGGGGCAGGGAAAUGUCACCCCAGAAGCACCUGUAUACAAGGAUCAAUUCAGACUGCCCACAGUGAAGGCCACUCUGAAUUGUAAAAGUUCCCCAGUCUUAUUCUUCACUGUACUUGCAUUUCUUCUGCAACAUGUCCUUCUAUAUAUAAUUCAGAAAAUAUAACCUGAAUGGACGAAUGCCAGCCCUCUCCCCAGCCCCUGUCUGCCUGGUAAACUUCUGGUUCACCAUAAGGCUCAGCAACGAGCUGUAUCCUCAUCCUCAACGCAGCCUUCAGGACUCCCUCCCUGUGCUCCAGAUGCCACAUGCUGACCUCUGCUCACCCUCACAGCAGCGUUGCAAGUGCGUGUUUCCCCACUGGGUCUUGUUCUCCUCUGCCACUCCCAGCGCUUAGCACAACGCCUUGCAUAGGUCAGCUUGAAUGCAUAAGUGAAAGUGCCCUGCUUGCAUACCUCUGGAGACAGGGAGCUCACUAUCACAAGACAGCUCAUUCUGACAACUUCAAAGUUCUUCCUUAAACACAGCUGAAAUCUACCUGUCAGAAACUUCUACCUGGGAACCUUAGGGAGGCUGCCAGUGCCACACCGAACAAGCCAGCAGCCUCUUUCACAAGACCACUCUUCAGAGUUGAAUCUCUCUCCAUUGUCCUCUGCAGCACCCACCAAAAGAUAGUGGGAUAUGGGUCAGACAUUCACAUUCUAAGUCACCAAGCUUGGCUCCCAGGAAGCCUCCCUAAGGUUAGAGGUUCUGGUCCUACUACGCCCUCAGAUACCUGCACCUUCACCCUGGUCCCACUGGGACAUCACCCCAAUGGCCCAAAACUGUAGGGCACAAGUCUCAAUGCCAGAGAACCCAGGUGGAGGGUAGAGGGUGGGCCUUGCAGGCUCCCUGGGUGUGAGAGUAUCUGUCGCCACCCUUUCCUGAUGCAGAUUAGGGGAUGCCAAGUCCUAAAGAGGAGGCAGUUUUCUCAAAAAUCACCCGGGGAAUCUGUGCCGAUCUCAAACUAGAGCUGUGAGAGGGAGAGACGCAGGCAAGGAAGAGGAGGUAGCAAUGCGCUAGGAUCAAAUUCCACAGUCGACCUCACAUAAGCCAGCUCACUGUGAUUUACACGCCACCGUCCUUGGGGUGGCAGAAGAGCUGAAAUCCUUUCUGACAUCUCAGGACCAAACUUGUCAAAUCUCAGCAACAGCUUUUCCCCAUCAGCACCCAGGCUCUCUGAAGACUCUUCCUCGGAAUAGCCUGGAGCUGCCGAGCCAGCCAGGGACGGCUCCCGCCAGACUACACGCCAGGCUGAGAGCUCAAACGAGUCACAAUGGGGAGGCUAGUGACCCCCAUCCAUUCCCGUGACAUCGUUUGAAGGGAUCUGGAGCCAGCCGCCUGGGUUCGAAUCCUGACUGUCCCCCUCACCAGACUCUGGGGAGGAAAGGGAGCCCAUGGCAGACCAGAGCCCUGGCCGGCCAGGGUCCCCGGGCCUACGAGGAGGACGUUCAUGGGCGAGUGUAUGGUGGUGGAUGAACUGCGGCAGAACCCGAGAUUGGCAGCUGGAACCCUCUCCUCUUGCAGGUCUGGGUGAAAAGCGUGGGACCCUCAGCCCAGAGCCUCACAAGACUUGGAUUUGCUUUGGAAACCACUGUGCUUUUCAACAAGAUCGUUCAAAUGGCCUGAGUGGAGACAGGGAGCUGGGGAGUUGGGGAUGGAAGCCGUUUUUAAGCCUGGAGGAAUCCAAACCACACACAGUAGUCCAAGGCCCUGCCCCGCCCCGGUCCACCACCACACUCCCCCCGCCCCCCGCCAUGACGUCCAUGACUGUAUCCUCAUUUCACAGAUGAGGAGACAGGCACAGAGCAGCAGGCAUGGCCAUGUGGCCAGUCACGCAGUGGAGGGAGGCCCGGGGGCAGGAGAGGGGCGCCUAAGGCCACACAGCAGGGCUGCGCCAGUGCGCAUGGCUGAGAGGCAGGUUCCAGGAGUUUCUGGGAGUUCUUGCUCAACAUCAAGAAACUUCCACCAGGAUCCACGGGGGGAAGUGGAAGCAGCCUUGUGAUAGGAGUUUCAAAGGCCUGGGCGCUGGCAAAUAGGAAAAAACAGGCUGAGAAAACAUAUCAGGCAGGCCUGCUUGUGAGGGAACCUGGCAGACAUCCAACCAGCAGUCUGGUGGCCAAUCCGGUACAUCAGACAUGCGCUUAAUCCAUCAUUCCGCAGCGGGCAGGUCACUGGCCACACAGGCUUCAGGCAUCCUGGCUUGAGGGAACUUGGGCUUGCCAUCAGGCCCGUAUGAAUCAGAAAUUCUGGGCUGCUCAUCCCCCACCAGGCACCCCCACACUGUCCCUCCUCUGCAUGUUUGCCUCUCCAUUCUCUCCACCUUCACUGUCUCGGUUACCUAUGGUCACAGAGAUACUCAAUAAACCACCAAGUGCAGUGGCUUAAGAGCAUGCUCUUCCUUCAGCAGGGCAGUUCUGACCUUGGCUGAUCUCACCCAUGUGUCUGCAUCUGUGGUGAGCUGGCAGAUUGGGGUGUAGAUUGGGCUCUCCCAUUUGUCCAGGUCCUCAGCUGGGACACCUGGGCUGGCUUGGCUCUGUUCUGUGUGGCCUCUCAUACUCCAAGAGGCUAGCCCAGGCUUAAGUACACUGAGUUGGCAGUUGCAGCCUGCAAGGCCUCUCGUGGCUUAGGCUCAGGACUGGCAUAUCAUCACUUCUGCUGCACUUCUCCCUGCUAAAGCAAGUAUUGAGGCCACCCAAGAUCCAGAAGGUGGACAGGAGCAGCAGAGCCUCACUACAAAGGGCACAGAUGCACAGAGGCCCUUCUCUGGAUCCACAAAUGCAGCCAGUGUACAGCAAACACCAUCUCCGCCCCUCUUCUCUCCACCUGUUGGCAUACUUACGUUCUUCAAGGCCCACCUCAAGUCUAGCUCUUUGUGAAGUUUUACCUAAAUAUUCCACCCUACACCCACCGUAGACUAAAUGAAUAGCAGGAUACUAUCUGGGGCGCUGGGUCCCAAAAGGAGGUGCCUAAAAGAGAAACAGGAUGUGACUGGCCCUGUGGGCUCCGGCUGGGGAACUCUGCAGCUGGGACAGGAACCCAGAGACACCAGGGCCCACCCCUGCCCAGGCCUUGGGGGAGCCCCUUCUGAGGACGAGAACCAAGCUCUGAAGUCCCAUGCUGCAGGCAAAGGCAGGGACUUCCACCCAUCCUCCUGCCAUCUACCAAGUAUCUACUGAGGGCCUACGGGUUGUUCCUGGCUCUGUGCUAGGCACUUCCACGCAUCAUCUCAUCAAACCCUCCCAACGACUUACAAGGUGAUUAUUGCUUUCCUCCCCAUUUUGCAGAUGAGGAAACCAAGGAAAUCAAGGGUGUUUGAGUGACCGACGGAAAGUCACACAGCUAGGAAGUAAAGGAGCCAGGAUACAGGCCCAGAGCCCUGGUUUUAUCUGAAACCAAAACCAGAAGUUCCUCUUCCAGCUGCCACCACCUCUCUGAGUAUCAGACCUGCUAAUGACAAUGGUAACAUCAGCUCCACGGCAUGGUUCUAAGCCCUGUACAUUAAUGCGAUCAAUAAAAGCAUCUUGCCUUAAUUAAUUUACUCCUCUCAAUAACCCUUUGAGGCACCAGCUAAUGCAGUACAUCUGUGAGCCGUCGCUUGCUCCUCACAGCAGGACCAUGGGAUUGAUGCCGUCAUUACCAUCCUCCCCAUGUUAUAGAUGAGGACAUUGAAGAGAGGUGACAUCUAAAUGCAACCUGGUAUCCUGGAUUAGAUCCCAGAACAGAAAAAGGACAUUGGUGGAAAAACUGGAGACAUCUGGCUAAAGUCUGGAGUGGAGUUAAUAGCAAUGUACCAAUGUUAAUUUCUUAGUUUUGAUGAAUGCACUAGGUAAUGUCAGACGCCAACAUUAGGUGACACUGGGCAAACAGUAUACGGGAACUCUUGCUGCAACUCUUUUGUAGAUCUAAAAUUCUCUCAAAAUAAAAUGUUU